rnacentral:rRNA from 1 species
GACGAACGCUGGCGGCGUGCUUAACACAUGCAAGUCGAACGCUGAAGCUCAGCUUUUGUUGGGUGGAUGAGUGGCGAACGGGUGAGUAACACGUGAGUAACCUGCCCCCUUCUUUGGGAUAACGCCCGGAAACGGGUGCUAAUACUGGAUAUUCACUGGUCUUCUCAUGGGGGUUGGUGGAAAGGGUUUUUCUGGUGGGGGAUGGGCUCGCGGCCUAUCAGCUUGUUGGUGGGGUGAUGGCCUACCAAGGCUUUGACGGGUAGCCGGCCUGAGAGGGUGACCGGGCACAUUGGGACUGAGAUACGGCCCAGACUCAGACGGGAGGCAGCAGUGGGGAAGAUUGCACAAUGGGCGCAAGCCUGAUGCAGCGACGCCGCGUGAGGGAUGGAGGCCUUCGGGUUGUGAACCUCUUUCGCUCAUGGUCAAGCCGCAACAAUGGUUGUGGUGAGGGUAGUGGGUAAAGAAGCGCCGGCUAACUACGUG